GUGAUGGACCCAGGCUUUCAAGAGGGCCAUACUUGGGGAUUACCACUAUAUGUUCUGUGUUAUCUCUAAUUUAUGUGUCAUUAAAAGCACCAUAUGUGUUUAGUGUUUCAAGUAUUGAUAGAGGAGAGUAUGCAAAAGCCAUGGAAAUUGCCUUGUUUGUUUGCUCAUGGCUCUUAGCAAUUGGUCAUAUUAUUGUGGCAUAUAGAACAAGUUGCAGAGAAAGAAGAAAGCUUCUGGUCUACAAAAUUGAUAUUGAAGCUGUUUCUACUUUCAAGAAUGGGUUUCCUGGGUAUAAAAAAAUUCCAAAACAAGAGAGAAUCAAGUGAUUUCAGCAGCAACAAUCAAUGAAGAACUAACAACAUUAGAUAGACUUCUUCUUCAUCUUUUCCUUCUUAUUUGCAAAGCAUGUUCUUCAGUAUCCAGUCCAGUUGCAGGUUUUCCAAAGGAAACUUGCAAGCUAGAGAUUUACUGAAGAAGCAAAAUUAACAAAAGGGAUAGAGAGUAUAUUUAUGACAUUCCCAUAUGUCAAUUUAAUAACAAUUGUAUACUCAUGGUUUUUGUAUCACUAUAGAGGUUGUGGCUUGAGGAUGAAAAUUCUAACAUGUACAGAUUUUGUAUUUUCAGUGAAAAAUGU
rnacentral:misc_RNA from 1 species